rnacentral:rRNA from 1 species
GGACUACAGGGGUAUCUAAUCCUGUUUGAUCCCCACGCUUUCGCGCCUCAGCGUCAGUUAUCGUCCAGAGUGCCGCCUUCGCCACCGGUGUUCCUGCUAAUAUCUACGAAUUUCACCUCUACAUUAGCAAUUCCGCACUCCCCUCCGAUACUCAAGCCUGACAGUUUCAAAGGCAAUUCUGGGGUUAAGCCCCAGGAUUUCACCCCUGACUUGUCAAGCCGCCUACGCGCGCUUUACGCCCAGUAAUUCCGAACAACGCUAGCACCCUUCGUAUUACCGCGGCUGCUGGCAC